rnacentral:tRNA from 1 species
UCCCCGGUGGCGCAGUGGUAGCGCGGGAAGCUGUUAACUUCAAGGUCGCAGGUUCGAGUCCUGCCCGGGGAG